UACGUAGGGUGCGAGCGUUAAUCGGAAUUACUGGGCGUAAAGCGUGCGCAGGCGGUUUUGUAAGCCAGAUGUGAAAUCCCCGGGCUUAACCUGGGAAUGGCAUUUGGGACUGCAAGGCUGGAGUGUGGCAGAGGAGACUGGAAUUCCUGGUGUAGCAGUGAAAUGCGUAGAUAUCGGGAGGAACAUCUGUGGCGAAGGCGACACCCUGGACCAGUACUGACACUGAGGCACGAAAGCGUGGGGAGCAAACAGG
rnacentral:rRNA from 1 species